CUCACAUUUCACCUGAGUAAGGUGCCUUCAAGGCCUGAUCCUUUCCAAGCUUUUGAUAGCUCACUCUAAUAUCACCCGUGCAAAGUUUGCUGACGAUCAUGCAUAUUAGAGGAGGGAGACGUCUAAACCUGCAAGACACUGGUUUUGUAGGACAGAAAUUUGACACCAGUUUCUUGAGUAUUUCUCUAGCUUUAUUGUCUUAGUCAUUGUAGCCUAGAUCGACAUUUCAACAGCUAGUACUAAUUUGUCAUUUUCAUUACAGGAUCAAAUGGUAAUAAAGGUGGUCAGGUGGCGAGAGGCGAACAUUUUUGUCCUAACGGUUGGACAGCGGGUGUCUCUUACGCACCUGAAAACAUCGUGUUCCGGUGGCCUGGAGCUCCACUCCACCGAAAAUACUGAGAUCAAGGAACUGGAACAAGAGCCAUUUCGAUUUGUGGCCUUUAAAAUAAAAGGUGAAGACGUGGAGCUUUUGGACGCCACCAAUGCCACCAAAAAGGUUCCAUUGACAGUGUGGAAAGAAAGAUUCCCCGAAGGCCCUAAUCUUACCCCAGAGGGGCUUUUGUGGUAAUUUUUUUCUUUUGUUCUAUUGUUUGUAUUUCUUGUUUGUUGU